rnacentral:rRNA from 1 species
GAUGAACGCUGGCGGCGUGCUUAACACAUGCAAGUCGAACGGGAUCCAAGGGGUGCUUGCACUUUUUGGUGAGAGUGGCGAACGGGUGAGUAACACGUGAGUAACCUGUCCUUUUCUUUGGGAUAAGCAUUCGAAAGGGUGUUUAAUACCUUAUGUUCUGUCUGCCUCGCAUGGGGUGGGUGGGAAAGGCUUUGGCCGGAUUUGGGUGGGCUCGCGGUCUAUCAGCUUGUUGGUGGGGUGAUGGCUUACCAAGGCUUUGACGGGUAGCCGGCCUGAGAGGGUGGUCGGUCACAUUGGGACUGAGAUACGGCCCAGACUCCUGCGGGAGGCAGCAGUGGGGGAUAUUGCACAAUGGGCGAAAGCCUGAUGCAGCGACGCCGCGUGGGGGAUGAAGGCCUUCGGGUUGUAAACUUCUUUUGCUCUGAACUAGGCAUGCCAGUGGGUGUGUUGAGUGUAGGGGUUGAUUAGCGCCGGCUAACUACGUG